UACGAAGGGGGCGAGCGUUGUUCGGAAUUACUGGGCGUAAAGGGCGCGCAGGCGGCCUUAGAAGUCAGAUGUGAAAGCCCCGGGCUCAACCUGGGAAUGGCAUUUGAUACUCUGAGGCUGGAGUACGGGAGAGGAGAGUGGAAUUCCCAGUGUAGAGGUGAAAUUCGUAGAUAUUGGGAAGAACACCGGUGGCGAAGGCGGCUACUCUGGACCGUAACUGACGCUGACGGC
rnacentral:rRNA from 1 species